rnacentral:rRNA from 1 species
UACGGGAGGCAGCAGUGGGGAAUAUUGCACAAUGGGCGGAAGCCUGAUGCAGCAACGCCGCGUGAGGGAAUGACGGCCUUCGGGUUGUAAACCUCUUUUAGCAGGGAAGAAGCGAGAGUGACGGUACCUGCAGAAAAAGCGCCGGCUAACUACGUGCCAGCAGCCGCGGUAAUACGUAGGGCGCAAGCGUUAUCCGGAAUUAUUGGGCGUAAAGAGCUCGUAGGCGGUUUGUCGCGUCUGCUGUGAAAUCCCGAGGCUCAACCUCGGGCCUGCAGUGGGUACGGGCAGACUAGAGUGCGGUAGGGGAGAUUGGAAUUCCUGGUGUAGCGGUGGAAUGCGCAGAUAUCAGGAGGACACCGAUGGCGAAGGCAGAUCUCUGGGCCGUACUGAAUGCUGAGGACGAAAGGGUGGGGACAAACAGGCUUAGAUCCCUGGUAGUCCACCCCGUAAACGUUGGGAACUAGUUGUGGGGUCCAUUCACGGAUUCCGUGACGCAGCUAACGCAUUAAGUUCCCCGCCUGGGGAGUACGGCCGCAAGGCUAAAACUCAAAGGAAUUGACGGGGACCGCACAGCGGGGGAGCAUGCGGAUUAAUUCGAUGCAACGCGAAGAACCUUACCAAGGCUUGACAUAUACGAGAACGGGCCAGAAAUGGUCAACUCUUUGGACACUCGUAAACAGGUGGUGCAAUGGUUGUCGUCAGCCUCGUGUCGUGAGAAUGUUGGGUUUAAGUCCCGCAAACGAGCGCAACCCCUCGUUCCUAUGUUUGCCAGCACGUAAUGGUUGGGAACUCAAUGGGAUACUGCCGGGGUCAACUCGGAGGAAGGUGGGGAUGACGUCAAAUCAUCAUGCCCCUUAUGUCUUGGGCUUCACGCAUGCUACAAUGGCCGGUACAAUGGGCAGAGAUACCGUGAGGUGGAGCGAAUCCCAAAAAGCCGGUCCCAGUUCGGAUUGAGGUCUGCAACUCGACCUUAUGAAGUCGGAGUCGUUAGUAAUCGCAGAUCAGCAACGCUGCGGUGAAUACGUUCCCGGGUCUUGUACACACCGCCCGUCAAGUCAUGAAAGUCGGUAACACCUGAAGCCGGUUGGCCUUAACCCUUGUGGAGGGAGCUGUCGAAGGUGGGAUCGGUAUUAGGACUAAGUCGAUAAAACAGGGUACAAGGG